rnacentral:rRNA from 1 species
CAGCAGCCACGGGAAUACGUAGGGUGCAAGCGUUAAUCGGAAUUACUGGGCGUAAAGCGUGCGCAGGCGGUUUGUUAAGACAGAUGUGAAAUCCCCGGGCUCAACCUGGGAACUGCAUUUGUGACUGGCAAGCUAGAGUCUGGCAGAGGGGGGUGGAAUUCCGCGUGUAGCAGUGAAAUGCGUAGAUAUGCGGAGGAACACCGAUGGCGAAGGCAGCCCCCUGGGCCAACACUGACGCUCAUGCACGAAAGCGUGGGGAGCAAACAGGAUUAGAUACCCCUGUAGUCCCUGUCUCUUAUAC